rnacentral:rRNA from 1 species
UACCAGCACCCCGAGUGGUCGGGACGAUUAUUGGACCUAAAGCAUCCGUAGCCGGUUUUACAAGUCCUCCGUUAAAUCCAGCUGCUUAACAGAUGGGCUGCGGAGGAUACUAUAAGACUAGGAGGCAGGAGAGGCAAGCGGUACUCAGUGGGUAGGGGUAAAAUCCGUUGAUCCAUUGAAGACCACCAGUGGCGAAGGCGGCUUGCCAGAACGCGCUCGACGGUGAGGGAUGAAAGCUGGGGGAGCAAACCGG